CCGAGUUGUAAUUUGCAGAGGAUGCUUUUGGUGCGGUGCCUUCCAAGUUCCCUAGAACGGGACGCCAGAGAGGGUGAGAGCCCCGUACAGUUGGACACCAAGCCUUUGUAAAGCUCCUUCGACGAGUCGAGUAGUUUGGGAAUGCUGCUCAAAAUGGGAGGUAUAUUUCUUCUAAAGCUAAAUACCGGCCAGAGACCGAUAGCGCACAAGUAGAGUGAUCGAAAGAUGAAAAGCACUUUGAAAAGAGGGUUAAACAGCACGUGAAAUUGUUAAAAGGGAAGCGCUUGUGACCAGACUUGCGUCCGGUGAAUCACCCAGCUCUCGCGGCUGGGGCACUUCGCCGGCUCAGGCCAGCAUCAGCUCGCUGUCGGGGACAAAAGCUUCAGGAACGUAGCUCUCUUCGGGGAGUGUUAUAGCCUGUUGCAUAAUACCCUUUCGGCGGGCUGAGGUACGCGCUCCGCAAGGAUGCUGGCAUAAUGGUCAUCAGCGACCCGUCUUGAAACACGGACCAAGGAGUCAACCUUAUGUGCGAGUGUUCGGGUGUCAAACCCCUACGCGUAAUGAAAGUGAACGCAGGUGAGAGCUUCGGCGCAUCAUCGACCGAUCCUGAUGUUCUCGGAUGGAUUUGAGUAAGAGCAUAUAGGGUUGGACCCGAAAGAAGGUGAACUAUGCGUGUAUAGGGUGAAGCCAGAGGAAACUCUGGUGGAGGCUCGCAGCGGUUCUGACGUGCAAAUCGAUCGUCAAAUAUGCGCAUGGGGGCGAAAGACUAAUCGAACCUUCUAGUAGCUGGUUUCCGCCGAAGUUUCCCUCAGGAUAGCAGUGUUGAACUCAGUUUUAUGAGGUAAAGCGAAUGAUUAGGGACUCGGGGGCGCUAUAUUGCCUUCAUCCAUUCUCAAACUUUAAAUAUGUAAGAAGCCCUUGUUACUUAAUUGAACGUGGGCAUUCGAAUGUAUCAACACUAGUGGGCCAUUUUUGGUAAGCAGAACUGGCGAUGCGGGAUGAACCGAACGCGAGGUUAAGGUGCCAGAGUAGACGCUCAUCAGACACCACAAAAGGUGUUAGUACAUCUUGACAGCAGGACGGUGGCCAUGGAAGUCGGAAUCCGCUAAGGACUGUGUAACAACUCACCUGCCGAAUGUA
rnacentral:rRNA from 1 species